rnacentral:rRNA from 1 species
UACGUAGGGUGCAGGCGUUAAUCGGAAUUACUGGGCGUAAAGCGUGCGCAGGCGGUCUUUUAAGUCAGAUGUGAAAUCCCCGGGCUUAACCUGGGAACUGCGUUUGAAGCUGAAAGGCUAGAGUGUGGCAGAGGGGGGGUGGAAUUCCACGUGUAGCAGUGAAAUGCGUAGAUAUCAGGAGGAACACCGGUGGCGAAGGCGGCUA